GGAGGAUGAAAUGCAGAUACCUGACCUCCUGUGUACCUACCUUUCCCAAUACUAUGUGUUCACCACAGUACACAGUGUCUGGUCACCAGCUUUUGUGUUUGGGCCUGGCCUCCAUAUCCAGAGUGGACCUCAAUGCUAACCAUUCUGUCAGUCUUCAUCUCCCUCACCCACAGACCUUCUGCCAUUCCUACUAGCUACAAAGGACACUGGGAAACAGGAGCACACACAAGCCUGAUAGUUCUACCUUGUUGCUUUGGGUUUUUUUCCCUUCUUGUUUACAGGUACUGGUAAUCUACAGAGUAAGUCACAAAUUGUUCUCAGAGCUUUAUUUUUUUAAUUAUAGUUUUUUAAUAAUGAUUUUUAUUUUUUUCCAUUAUAGUUGGUUUACAUAUUUCUUCAAUUUCUGUUGUACAGCAAAGUGACCCAAUCACACACAGUUCCUGUGUUGUACAGAAGGGCCCAAUUGCCCAUCCAUUCCAAAUACAACAAUUUGCAUCUGAAAAUUCCAAACUCCUGGUCCUUAUCCAGUCCAUCCCACUCCGUAAGUCUGCUCUCCCUUGACCUUGAUCUGUUUCUGUUUUGGAGAUAGAAAAACUGAUCCCAGAGCUUUAAAUGAAAUGUACGCAGCUCUUCUGCAACGAGCUGUCCUAGUUGCUUGACGGUUCCUCUGCCCUUUCUUUUUAGUUCCCCCUCACAUGCUGCUGAGUCCUAACUCUAAAGUGUCUCAACUUCAUGCAUAUUCUCUGAGCCUGGCAUUUAUCCUCUGAUUCUAGAGGUAUAUUGAGCCUGCUCCACUGUUGUGAGUGAAGGAAGCUUCUCUUGAGUGUUUCUCAGGAUCUUCACCCAUUUUUCUGCUCUUGUUUUGUAAUCUCAGGGAAAGAGGCAUCCUUCUGCUUUGUCACUGUUCUCCUCAAUCUCAUGUUCUCCUGCUACCCCUGGGAUCUUGCUUUUCUGGUCAUUUCUCAUAUAUAUUUUUUGCUUUUUAGGGCCAUAGAGGUAGCAAAUGGAAGUUCCCAGACUAGAGGUCUAACUGGAGAUACAGCUGCCAGCCUAUGCUACAGCCAUAGCAAUGAGCCGCGUCUAUAGCCUACGCCACAGCUCACAGCAAUGCAGAUCCCUGAUCCACUAAGCAAGGCCAGGAUCAAACCCCCAUCCUCAUGGAUACUAGUUGAAUUUGUUUCCUCUGUGCUACAAUGGGGACUUCCUAUUUAAAAUAUAUAUUAGGGCCACAGAUGUGGCAUAUGGAAGUUCCCAGGCUAGGGGUAAAAUUAGAGCUACAGCUGCUGGUCUACCCCACAGCCCACAGCAAUACCAGAUCCAAGCCCCGUCUGUGACCUACACUGCAGCUUGUGGCAAUGCCGAUCCUUAACCCACUGAGCAGGGCCAGGAAUUGAACCCACAUCCUCAUGGAUACUAGUCAGGUUCAUCACUGCUGAACCACAAUGGGACUGCCUAUAUUUUAUUUCAAUUCGUUUUCCAGAGACAUGAUUGCACACCUCCCUCCAUUUGACAAAUACUCAAGUUGCCAUUAACUAAAAACAAACACACAAACUGAAAAAACAAGUAGUCAAGAUAAUAAGCAACUCCCGCCCCAGAACUCCUUGACCCUGAUACUACUUCUCCAUCUUUCUUUUCUUUUCUUUCUUUCAUCCUUUCUUUCUUUCUUUCUUUCUUUCUUUUUUGCUUUUUAGGGCCUUAAGGGUGGCAUAUAGAAGUUCCCAGGCUAGGGGUCAAAUUGGAGCUAUAACUGCUGGCCUACAGCACAGCCACAGCAAUUCAGGAUCCAAGCCGCAUCUGUGACCUACACCACAGCUCACAGCAAUGCUGGAUCCUUAACCCACCACUGAGCGAGGCCAGGGAUCCAACCUGCAUCCUUGUGGGUGCUAGUUGGGUUUGUAACCCACUGAGCCACAACAGGAACUCCUCUCCACCUUUCUUUGCUGACAAACAUCUUAGUCUGCCCCUGCCACCUCUUUGGAACCCACACACUUCUAGGAAUAUGAACUCAGUAUUAUGCUCAAAGUGUUCUCUUCUUGUCAUCAAGAGCUCAGGGUCUGUAACUCAAAAGAACUCAUCUCAGUUCUUAACCUCUCUACUCUCUCUGCAAUAUGGGGCAUCUUGGCUAGCCACACUGGGAUGGACUGAGUGUGUCCUUCCAAAAUUCAAAUGUUGAAGCCCUAAUCCCCAGUGUGAUGGUAUUUAGACUUAGAUUUUUGGGAGUAAUUAGGUCAUGAGGCUGGAGCCUUCUUGAAUGAGAUUAGUGCCCUUAUAAGAGACUUUCAUAGAGAUCAUCUAUGAAAAGACUUUCAUCUUUUCAUAGAUGAUCUCUCCUUCCACUGUAUAGGAAUACAGCGAGAAGGCAGCCACUUACAAACUAGGGAGAGAGCCCUCACCAAGAACCCAACCAUACCAACACCCUGAUCUUAGACUUCCAGCCUUUAGAACUGUGAGAAAGAAUUGUUUGUUGUUUACUCCAGCUAGUCUAUAGUCUAUAGUAUUCUGUUGUAGCAGCCCAAACAGCCUAAGGCACAUACCUUAAAAUUUCAGUUGAACUUUGUGAUGCUGAGUGCUUCUGUGUUCCUCUGAUUCUUUAUUACUACUAUAAAGACUUGCCCUUUGGUUCUCUUCCUUAUUUCUAAAUGAAGAUUCUCCUUCUUCUUAGUUCUUUCAUUGCACUCCUUGGCUGUAGUCUUUCUGUAAGUGAUUUUAUAUAGUCACAAGAAUUAAAAUAGCACCUUUUAAAGAAUACCGCCAAACCAUGUAUCACUGCAGUGACCUGUCUUGGAUGUGCAUUUUCAAUUGUUUGAUGCAUAUUUUCACCUAAAAGAUGACACAUUGAUUCAAACUUAAACUCAGCAUGAUCGAAACCGAACUCACUUUUUUCUUCUUGUUACUACUUUAGUUCAUUCUUUCAUCACUAGUUAUGAAGAAUACAAUACGUUCCUAACUGAUGCUCUAAUGUUUGGAUAUUCUGUUCAUAAUUUAUAUAUGCGUGGAUAAAUUUAGUAAUGAGAGAUUAUUUUUCAAACUUUGGCCUUGUUUAAAAACAUUCAGUAGCAACUAUUGCCUACUGAAUUAUACCUAGUCAGAAGCUUGCCUUUAAGAUGCUUUACAAUAUGUAUAUGCCAUUUUCAGACUUAUUCUUCUAAAACACUCUACAAAUUCCCUGUGCCACAUAUAAAACUGACAACUCAUGGUUCCAUGGAUGUGCUUUGUCCAUUCUUGUUUCCAUUUCAAUAGACUGACAUGAAAAAAUGGUUAAUAAAUAAUAGAUUACUUUUAAAAUGGAUACUGGUGGAUUCAUCCUGGGUUGAAUCCAUUAACCGACAGAUGAUGUCUUUCUCUAAACUGUCUCUGAAUGUAGCUAAGAAAAAAAUUGAGUGGAGAGGUAUAUAUCUGUUAUAACUUGUUUGUCUUUGAUCAUUGCCAGAUUUUUAUAGUGUAUGUCUUCUCUCCCAAAGAAUGCUGACUGUAAGUUCCUUGUGGACAUGACAUGACUUAUUCUUCUUUAUAUCUUCUAAAAUAUGAAGAACACAUAAUAAAUAUUUCACAUGUAUUUGUUGAAAGGACAUAUGGGUGGUUAAAAAAUGGAUACUGUGCAUUUUGUCCUUUGAGAUAACUUAUCUAUUAUUUAUCAUACAAGCCUGGUUUACCAUUCCAAAUGAAAGCUUUAUGGUAAACAUCUGAAGUCCUAAACAAAUGGAAAUUAAGCUGCUCACAAAUUUAUCUGGUGAUUACAAGUCACUUUGUGAUGCUUUUCCCAUUUUAUCUUCCAGCUUAAUUUUGCUGGAAAGCAUACCUCAUGAAUGGCUCUAGCAAGUUGUGAUGCCAGCUGGGGGAAUUUUGCCGUUUAUAGCAUGAGCCAUUUCACAGAUUUUUCAGGGAUUUUUGAGACUGGUGAUACUGCAAAGAUAAUGCGCAUUCUCUAUGUCAAAAGAUGUGAAUUAAUGAGGUGAAGGAAACAUUUAUCUAUUGCAAAUGACCAGGGAAGUUUUGCCAAAUUUCCUCAAGUUGUCUCUUUUCUCUUGGCAUUCACUUGGAAGGAGUAUAUCCUGGUAAUGGGAAUCACAUGUGAUUAAAGAGACCUUCAUGAACUGAUGCAGACCUUCACACGGCUAUAGUCAGGGGUUUGGAGGAUACUGGAAGUUGACUUAAUCUUUGAGACAAAUCUAGAAUAUAUAGGAAAAUGUGAUCAAUGAAAAAUGUGCAACCUCUGUAUGUCCAACGCAAAGUCAUAUGGUAUGUGUGUGUGUGUGUGUGUGGUUAUCCCUAUGUGAAGUGGUAAUUAAUAUGCUGAAAAUAAAAACCGUUCUAGAGAAAAGUCCUAAAAGCUGACAAAGGCUGUUACCUUUAAAGUAAAAUUCCUGGAUAAUUGAGGAUGUAGACCAUCACUUUGGGAGCUUCUCUUUAUCCUCUGAGUAAGAAAGAAGAGCGUUUCAGGGAUUUGUGCUCUCUAGAUGCUGUGUAUCCACUUAACUAAAAAAUAGACUCUACUUGGGGUCUACAUAAAGAUUUUCUUAUACUUACUCUGCCUUCAACUCUACACAUUUAUGGCAAAGUGGAAAUACUUUUUGCUCUUAUUUCCUAGGCUAAACAGUCCCUUAUCUGGUUCAACAGAUUGACCUCUGGCCUAAAGGGCAAGUGAGACUCUUCAGAUAGUUUUGUCUUGUGGUCUGUUGGAUGCCAUUACUCCCACGUAGCUAGAGCACAUUCUUUCAUUCUCUUUGGGCCUUGAUUUUGCUCUUUAAAAUUAACUAAUUAAUUAAUUUUCUUUUUAUAGCUGCACCUGCAGCAUAUGGAAGUUCCUGAAUCAGGGAUUGAAUCAGAGCUACAGCUGUGGCCUGCACCACAGCAGCCCUGGAUCUUAGCUGCAUCUGUUGCAGCAACGCUGAAUCCUUAACUCAUUGAGUGAGGCCAGGAGUUGAACCCGCAUCCUUACAGAGACUAUGCCAGGUCCUUAACCUGCUGAGCCACGAGGGAAACUCCUUGAUUUUGCUUUUAUCUGCCUUUUUUGUUCUGUGUCAGAUCUUCCCUCAUCCCACUCUUUACUAUUCCUAUUCUUUCUUCUGCUUCCUUUGUUUUCAUCUGUACAAAUUUGAGAUGCCUAGAAGUUAAUGUGGCUUGUUAAAUAUUCUCUGCACAGAGCCUGGAGAAAAGUGCUGUAUAUAUCAGGUAUAUAAUGAUAAGAAAUCAAAUUCUGCUCUGUACUUUUGCCUCUUUCUGGUAGUAAGUUAUGUAAUAAUGUUAUAAAUGAUCAAUUGGCAGCCUGGUGGGGUGAAUGUACUUCUCUGAGUGCCUCGUGAACACCCUGGGAAUGGCUUAGGUAUGAGGAAGAAUAUAAACUAAUAAUACAUGCCAGCUCUGAUUCCUUUGAGAAUUCAUGUCCUGAGAAAUUUCAAUGGAACAAUCUAAUUUUUUCAUCCACAAUAGUGUUUGAUUUGCAUUCAAGGAGGGAUAUUUUCCUGUCUGGCUACUUAGGGAUGGAGUUCAGAGUCAGAAAACAUUUUAUAUCCUUAGGUUUUCUUCAUUGCCUAUUAACAGUGAAUACUCACUAAGUUCAUGGCACUGCUUGGAAGGAGAGCUGAGUUAAGAUCAAAACCAGGCUGGCUGGUGCCUUUGAGAGCCACUACAGCCACAAACACUGCAAGUGUCCCUUGCCGGGAACCCAGCUAAGGAAGGACUCCUCUGAGAUAGCUACUAUCCUGAUCUGCCAAAUUGCAUGUACAAAAAAGAAAAGCUUAUUACCUGUCGUUGGAGAAUGACAACUAGAUAUGAUAGCAUUGAUAAUACCAAAUCCCAAAGAGAUGGACAGUACACUUUUUUUUCCUGUAAAUUGUUUAUAAUUUUAUUGAAACAUAUUAUGCUCACUUAAAAACAAUGUCAUAGUCCUAACAAAUCUAAGAGAAUAAACACCUUAUAAAGACUAAGGAAAGUAGGAUCUUCAUGGACUACAACUAUCAGAGGAAAACCUCAUGGAGAUGGUUGAAG
rnacentral:lncRNA from 1 species